CGAGGAGGGUUUUAGUAGGUAAGGCAUCUAUCGUAAUUUUUGUAACGAUUAAUUGCGAUCAAUGAAUCCUACACUACCCGGUUUUUGGGUGUCUUUUAAAGAUUUCCCUCCUCG
rfam:Anopheles epiroticus strain epiroticus2 unplaced genomic scaffold supercont1.1096, whole genome shotgun sequence.